rnacentral:snRNA from 1 species
ACACUCACUUAUACCGAUCAAAAUAGCUUAAAAGCAAAGCCCUUCAUUGCACUCCAGAAGUGCUGACCCCUGCGAUUUUCCCCAAAUGUGAGAAAAUUGACCACAUAAUUUGUGGUAAUGGGAGACUGUGUUCCCGCUUUCUCCUG